AGAGAAGAUGAUGUGGAGUAAGGGUGUCUCGUAAAUUUGUAAAAAGAAAUCACAUUGAGGGUUUUUGUUGUUUAACAUAAAUCAAAACUACGUCAUUUUGAUAUUAAGCAUUAAACUAAUAUAAGUGUAAGAAAAUCAAUUGAAGUUUUGACAAUGUCCAACCGGGAUUUGAAUCUUGUCUUCCACAUAAGUUUAAGAAAAUCAAUUGAAGUUUUGAAUAUGUCUUUUAGGUGAGUUGGUUUUCUUGCUGGUCAUAAUGGGGCGGGUGCGGGGUUCGACCAGCGCCGGACACAAUAUUUUUGGUUUAAUGUUUGCUAACAUAAGGACGUAGUAUUGAUUUCUCGUAAAUUCGCAAAAAGAAAUCACAUUGAGGGGUUUUUGCAGAAAUAUCAAAACUACGUCGUUUUGAUAUUAAAUAUUAAACUAAUAUAAGUUUAAGAAAAUCAAUUGAAGUUUUGAAUAUGUCCAACCGGGGUUUGAACCCUGUCUUCCACAUAAGUUUAAGAAAAUCAAUUGAAGUUUUAAAUAUGUCUUUUAGGUGAGUUGGUUUUCU
rnacentral:lncRNA from 1 species